GACUCUCGGCAACGGAUAUCUCGGCUCUCGCAUCGAUGAAGAACGCAGCGAAGUGCGAUACUUGGUGUGAAUUGCAGAAUCCCGUGAAUCAUCGAGUCUUUGAACGCAAGUUGCGCCCGAGGCCCUUUGGCCGAGGGCACAUCUGCUUGGGCGUCGA
rnacentral:rRNA from 1 species